AUUGAACGCUGGCGGAAUGCUUUACACAUGCAAGUCGAGCGGCAGCGCGGGGCAACCUGGCGGCGAGCGGCGAACGGGUGAGUAAUGCAUCGGAACAUGUCCAUGUCGUGGGGGAUAGCCCGGCGAAAGCCGGAUUAAUACCGCAUACGCUCGAGAGAGGGAAGCCGGGGACCGCAAGGCCUGGCGCGAUUGGGUUGGCCGAUGUCCGAUUAGCUAGUUGGUGAGGUAAAGGCUUACCAAGGCGAUGAUCGGUAGCUGGUCUGAGAGGAUGAUCAGCCACACUGGGACUGAGACGCGGCCCAGACUCCUACGGGAGGCAGCAGUGGGGAAUUUUGGACAAUGGGGGCAACCCUGAUCCAGCCAUUCCGCGUGAGUGAAGAAGGCCUUCGGGUUGUAAAGCUCUUUUGUCCGGAGCGAAACGGUUGUGGUGAAUAUCCACGACUACUGACGGUACCGGAAGAAUAAGCACCGGCUAACUACGUGCCAGCAGCCGCCGUAACAC
rnacentral:rRNA from 1 species